rnacentral:lncRNA from 1 species
UAUGUAUGAAAAUAUAUAAAUGAAACGUCGAAGCUGUCCCUGUUGUCUAGAUAAAAUAUUAGUAAAUGGAAAAACCAUAAAACAUAAAAUACACUUAAAUCUGAAGAAUACAAAUAUUGGGCACUCACGAGAGCUCGUUCCUCACCUAUCCUACUGUUGUGAGCGAACCAAUUAAAGUUUAUCUCUCUUUCUCUCUGUCUGUCUGUCUGUCUAUACCUUCCUUGAGAGUUAAGCCUUAAGCAGUAGCAGCCUGGUCCUUAUUAUGAUCACCAAAUAUCCGCUGCCUAAAAUCCGACACCAUCAUCGGCAAUCCUUUCCGAAGUGCCACUUUUGGCUCCCAUCCCAAAAGAUCUUUCGCCUUCGUGAUGUCUGGCUUCCUCUUGUGUGGGUCGUCCUCCGUGUUUGGCCUGAACUCUAUUUUUGCAUCAGGGUCAAUCGUCUCCUGGACCACCUGUCAUCCCAUAUUUAAAAUUUAAACAAAACAUAUUCAUCAACAUAUCUUACUAAAUUCAUUUUUGCAAACGGUAAUUAAUUGUUACCUGAGCAAGUUCAAGCAUGGUGAAUUCACCGGGAUUUCCAAGAUUAAACGGGCCUACAUGUUCACCUUCCAUCAAACGCAUUAGACCCUCCACCUAAAAACAAUAAAUUAAUUCGUCAAUAUGUAUAAAGACUAAACAGGGGUGGUGAUGGGUGGUCACACAAUACCCAGAAUUACAGGAAAAGAUAUCCGACACUAACUGGAUCUGCAAGUACAAUAAUUCAUAUGUAUGACUCCAUGGCAAUGGCACGAGGCACAAGGCCACCACACCUUCGAAAACAACCCACAUGCAGACACUUCAAAGCGUACGUCCAAAUUACAAAAGGUGAUUUUUUUUUUUUAACUACUUGUCUUUUAAUUGAUAAGGGGUCUGGUUUUGCCAUGACUACCGACAGAAGGGGAAAAGGUAAUUUUACAGUAAUCUGUCAUUAGUGGUGAUCAAGCUUUUUAUGUAAUAGUAAUUUCAUAAAGAACGAAAAGAUACUACUAACCAAAUCGGAAACGAAUUGAAAACUUCUUGUUUGCUUUCCAUCUCCAUAAACAGUCAUCGGUUCUUUCCUAAGCGCCUGCAUCACGUCACUUCACGUGUUAUUAUUUAUAUAAAUCAAAUCAAGUCCGAUAUAUGAUUUGUAAAUGAUAACUCACCUGAGCAACGAAGUUACUCACAACUCGGCCAUCGUCAAUGCACAUUCGAGGACCAUAUGUGUUGAAUAUUCUCGCAAUCCUAACCUAUAAUAUGUAUGUAAAUUGAUAUAGAUUGAAUUCUGUGACGAAAAGAUAUGAAUCAUGAAUGAUACAGAUAAAAAAAAAAAAAAAAACAAACCUCGACGCCAGCACCUCUGUGAUAAUCCAUGGUCAGUGUUUCGGCAGUACGCUUUCCCUCAUCAUAGCAGCUUCUGACACCUGUUAUUGAUUGUUACACACAUGGUUAGAUCUUAGUCCAUUUUCGCCUAAUAAAGUAUAUAUAAUAAUCCACUUUCGUCUAGAUUUCCCCCUUCAAUCUCCAUAAAAAUUCACAAGACACACGCAACAACUUCAACCAACAUUGAUGAACAGUCCCGUAAGUAAUCCACGAAUUCCCCCGGGAAAAAAGAGAGAAAAACUCACCGAUUGGAUUGACGUUGCCCCAGUAGGUUUCCACUUGAGGGUGUUGCAGAGGAUCUCCGUACACCUCACUGGUGCUCGUUAGCAAGAACCGUGCACCAACUCUCUUCGCCAGUCCAAGCAUAUUCAAUGUCCCCACUACAUUCGUCUUGUGACAACCAAAAUCAAAAUCAAGGAUUCACAAAUACAGAAUCUGGAUUUGUAUACUCAAAAUCAAUAAGAAAAACAGAGCAAAUAAAACUAAUUAAGGAAGGAUAUGAUUGUUUUCACGGGGUUGUAUUUGUAAUGAACAGGGGAAGCAGGGCAAGCAAGGUGAUAGAUCUGGUCGACUUCCAGUAGUAACGGCUCUACGACGUCGUGUCGGAUGAGCUCAAACCUAGGGUUUCCAAAAUGAUGCAUCACGUUCUCUUUAUUUCCAGUGAAGAAAUUAUCAACGACUAUGACACUGUCUCCUCGUUCAAUCAAUCGGUCAACGAGAUGACUUCCGACGAAUCCUGCACCGCCGGUCACCACAAUCCUUAACCCCUUCCGUUUCAAACCCAAAGGGAUCUUCCCACCUGAAUUAAACCGAUAAGCUGGUCUUCCAGGGUUCAUUAACUGAGCCGAUCCGGAAACUGCGUAGGAGGUGUAGGCGGAGAUGGUGGGGGAAGAGAAGGUGGUGGAUGAAGGAAUAAGGGUAAAGAAGAAGGUAGAUAUGGCAAUGCCGAUGAGCACGAAGACGAGACGUUGUUCACGAAGCAUGUAACGAAUCGGCGGAAUCACGGCGGACCAUGGUUUAUUAGGCUUUGGAGAGUAUAGAUCUGAAGUGGGAUGGGGUUCGUGGCCUCUGUAAAUCAGUUCAG